GUUCUUGUAGUUGAGUUUAAUAGUAGUUUUUGAACUGAUAGUCUUGGUUAAAAUCCAAGUAAGAAUU
rnacentral:tRNA from 1 species